rnacentral:rRNA from 1 species
GGCGAACGGGUGAGUAAUGUAUCGCUAACGUACCCUGGACUCUGGGAUAGCUGCCCGAAAGGGCGGGUAAUACCAGAUGAGACCCCGAGGAGGCAUCUCCUUGAGCUCAAAGGUCCGCCGGUCUGGGAGCGGGCGAUAUCGUAUCAGCUAGUUGGUGAGGUAACGGCUCACCAAGGCGACGACGCGUAGCCGGACUGAGAGGUCGGCCGGCCACAUCGGGACUGAGACACUGCCCGGACUCCUACGGGGGGCUGCAGUAACGAAUCUUCCCCAAUGCACGAAAGUGUGAGGGAGCGACGCCGCGUGGAGGACGAAGUCCUUCGGGAUGUAAACUCCCGUCAGGGGUUACCAAGUUCUGAGGAGCCCCAGAGGAAGUGGCGGCUAACUCUGUGCCAGCAGCCGCGGUAAGACAGAGGCCACAAGCGUUAGGCGGAAUCACUGGGCUUAAAGCGCGUGUAGGCGGAUGCCUAAGUGCCUUGUGAAAUCCCACGGCUUAACCGUGGAACUGCUGGGCAUACUGGGUGUCUUGAGGUGUCUAGGGGUCGCUGGAACAAACGGUGGAGCGGUGAAAUGCGUAGAUAUCGUUUGGAACGCCAGAGGUGAAAACAGGCGACUGGAGACAAUCUGACGCUGAGACGCGAAAGCCAGGGGAGCAAACGGGAUUAGAUACCCCGGUAGUCC